CCUAACAGCAUGGCCCCUCACCAACAGGGUGCUGGUGCUUCAGAGCAGCUUGGUGACGGCUCCUUUUCUCAUUAUAUGCUGGUUUCCUGGGAGCUUCUUGAUCUGCCCACAAGAUAUGGACUCAGGUGUGAAUCAGGCCCAAAUAUCAGGAGGGAUUCCAGCCAGAGCUACAUCAGGCUCCAAGGCUCUCAUCAUCUAAACGCUCUUACUGUUCAGGGACUGUAGGCAGUACCCAAGACUUGGACAUCCCUAGAAGAGCCAAUGGGAUCUGAUCUGAUGCCCAGCACUACCCAAGAAGAAUCCUCUGUUACCCCCACUCUGGUGGGCACCCCUCCUAUUCACUUACAAAAGGACAGAAGGAUCUUCUAGGUAGCACGCCAAAAGAACAAGAGACUCCGAUGAUGCCAGCUUCAAUGAUGGUGCCAUCCAGAGAGGGAGAGGGUCAUGGCACAUUCAACCUCGGCUUCCAGAAGUUUUGAAAAAGGAGCCUUUGGGGGCCCAGCCUGCCUGGCAUUUUGAUGCUGUCGGUGUGGGGUUUGUACUCCAUAAUGGUGUUGGGAGACUCUGGGGGCACCUGAGCAUGCAGCAAAGUACUCUACACCCCUGAACAAGAGCUGCCAUGGAGUGGUACUCAUCCCAGCCUUGGUAUCCAGAGACUAUAGGGCUGUAAUGAGGAUUGAUGGGGAUGACUGCCUGUCCUACCACUCAGCACAGCACAGUCUCUGGCACAUAGUAUGGGCUCAACAAGCUGCAGCCUACGGUGAUAAUGAUGAUGAUGAUCUUCCUUUGAGAAGCACACUGACUCAUGUCCAAGUGGAUUUCUAGCAAACCAUGGACCUGUGGGGAUAUUGAAUUCCUCUCAGCACAGCCUCAUCGCUACCCACCCCCCUACUUACAACCAUGAGCAGACGAAUAUGCCUGGCCCUGGGAACAGAGCCAAGUGUGGCCAGGAUUAUGAAGACCAGAGGCGGGGCAAGAUGGCAGAAGAGUAGGGUCCCCAAGUC